rnacentral:rRNA from 1 species
AGUGAACGCUGGCGGUAGGCCUAACACAUGCAAGUCGAACGGCAGCACAGUAAGAGCUUGCUCUUACGGGUGGCGAGUGGCGGACGGGUGAGGAAUACAUCGGAAUCUACUUUUUCGUGGGGGAUAACGUAGGGAAACUUACGCUAAUACCGCAUACGACCUACGGUUGAAAGCAGGGGAUCUUCGGACCUUGCGCGAUUGAAUGAGCCGAUGUCGGAUUAGCUAGUUGGCGGGGUAAAGGCCCACCAAGGCGACGAUCCGUAGCUGGUCUGAGAGGAUGAUCAGCCACACUGGAACUGAGACACGGUCCAGACUCCUACGGGAGGCAGCAGUGGGGAAUAUUGGACAAUGGGCGCAAGCCUGAUCCAGCUAUACCGCGUGGGUGAAGAAGGCCUUCGGGUUGUAAAGACCUUUUGUUGGGAAAGAAAAGCAGCAGGUUAAUACCCAGCUGUUCUGACGGUACCCAAAGAAUAAGCACCGGCUAACUUCGUG